GGUUAAGCGACUAAGCGUACACGGUGGAUGCCCUGGCAGUCAGAGGCGAUGAAGGACGUGCUAAUCUGCGAAAAGCGUCGGUAAGGUGAUAUGAACCGUUAUAACCGGCGAUGUCCGAAUGGGGAAACCCAGUGCAAUUCGUUGCACUAUCGUUAACUGAAUACAUAGGUUAACGAGGCGAACCGGGGGAACUGAAACAUCUAAGUACCCCGAGGAAAAGAAAUCAACCGAGAUUCCCCCAGUAGCGGCGAGCGAACGGGGAGCAGCCCAGAGUCUGAAUCAGCUUGUGUGUUAGUGGAACGGUCUGGAAAGUCCGACGGUACAGGGUGAUAGUCCCGUACACCAAAAUGCACAGGCUGUGAACUCGAAGAGUAGGGCGGGACACGUGGUAUCCUGUCUGAAUAUGGGGGGACCAUCCUCCAAGGCUAAAUACUCCUGACUGACCGAUAGUGAACCAGUACCGUGAGGGAAAGGCGAAAAGAACCCCGGCGAGGGGAGUGAAAAAGAACCUGAAACCGUGUACGUACAAGCAGUGGGAGCACCUUUAUGGUGUGACUGCGUACCUUUUGUAUAAUGGGUCAGCGACUUAUAUUCUGUAGCAAGGUUAACCGUAUAGGGGAGCCGCAGGGAAACCGAGUCUUAACUGGGCGUUAAGUUGCAGGGUAUAGACCCGAAACCCGGUGAUCUAGCCAUGGGCAGGUUGAAGGUUGGGUAACACUAACUGGAGGACCGAACCGACUAAUGUUGAAAAAUUAGCGGAUGACUUGUGGCUGGGGGUGAAAGGCCAAUCAAACCGGGAGAUAGCUGGUUCUCCCCGAAAGCUAUUUAGGUAGCGCCUCGUGAACUCAUCUUCGGGGGUAGAGCACUGUUUCGGCUAGGGGGUCAUCCCGACUUACCAACCCGAUGCAAACUACGAAUACCGAAGAAUGUUAUCACGGGAGACACACGGCGGGUGCUAACGUCCGUCGUGAAGAGGGAAACAACCCAGACCGCCAGCUAAGGUCCCAAAGUCAUGGUUAAGUGGGAAACGAUGUGGGAAGGCACAGACAGCCAGGAUGUUGGCUUAGAAGCAGCCAUCAUUUAAAGAAAGCGUAAUAGCUCACUGGUCGAGUCGGCCUGCGCGGAAGAUGUAACGGGGCUAAACCAUGCACCGAAGCUGCGGCAGCGACGCUUAUGCGUUGUUGGGUAGGGGAGCGUUCUGUAAGCCUGCGAAGGUGGCCUGUGAGGGUUGCUGGAGGUAUCAGAAGUGCGAAUGCUGACAUAAGUAACGAUAAAGCGGGUGAAAAGCCCGCUCGCCGGAAGACCAAGGGUUCCUGUCCAACGUUAAUCGGGGCAGGGUGAGUCGACCCCUAAGGCGAGGCCGAAAGGCGUAGUCGAUGGGAAACAGGUUAAUAUUCCUGUACUUGGUGUUACUGCGAAGGGGGGACGGAGAAGGCUAUGUUAGCCGGGCGACGGUUGUCCCGGUUUAAGCAUGUAGGCUGGUUAUCCAGGCAAAUCCGGAUAAUCAAGGCUGAGGUGUGAUGACGAGGCACUACGGUGCUGAAGUAACAAAUGCCCUGCUUCCAGGAAAAGCCUCUAAGCAUCAGGUAACAUCAAAUCGUACCCCAAACCGACACAGGUGGUCAGGUAGAGAAUACCAAGGCGCUUGAGAGAACUCGGGUGAAGGAACUAGGCAAAAUGGUGCCGUAACUUCGGGAGAAGGCACGCUGGUGUGUAGGUGAAGCCCCUGCGGGUGGAGCUGAGACCAGUCGAAGAUACCAGCUGGCUGCAACUGUUUAUUAAAAACACAGCACUGUGCAAACACGAAAGUGGACGUAUACGGUGUGACGCCUGCCCGGUGCCGGAAGGUUAAUUGAUGGGGUUAUCCGUAAGGAGAAGCUCUUGAUCGAAGCCCCGGUAAACGGCGGCCGUAACUAUAACGGUCCUAAGGUAGCGAAAUUCCUUGUCGGGUAAGUUCCGACCUGCACGAAUGGCGUAAUGAUGGCCAGGCUGUCUCCACCCGAGACUCAGUGAAAUUGAACUCGCUGUGAAGAUGCAGUGUACCCGCGGCAAGACGGAAAGACCCCGUGAACCUUUACUAUAGCUUGACACUGAACAUUGAGCCUUGAUGUGUAGGAUAGGUGGGAGGCUUUGAAGCGUGGACGCCAGUCUGCGUGGAGCCAACCUUGAAAUACCACCCUUUAAUGUUUGAUGUUCUAACGUUGGCCCCUUACCGGGGUUGCGGACAGUGUCUGGUGGGUAGUUUGACUGGGGCGGUCUCCUCCCAAAGCGUAACGGAGGAGCACGAAGGUUAGCUAAUCCUGGUCGGACAUCAGGAGGUUAGUGCAAUGGCAUAAGCUAGCUUGACUGCGAGCGUGACGGCGCGAGCAGGUGCGAAAGCAGGUCAUAGUGAUCCGGUGGUUCUGAAUGGAAGGGCCAUCGCUCAACGGAUAAAAGGUACUCCGGGGAUAACAGGCUGAUACCGCCCAAGAGUUCAUAUCGACGGCGGUGUUUGGCACCUCGAUGUCGGCUCAUCACAUCCUGGGGCUGAAGUAGGUCCCAAGGGUAUGGCUGUUCGCCAUUUAAAGUGGUACGCGAGCUGGGUUUAGAACGUCGUGAGACAGUUCGGUCCCUAUCUGCCGUGGGCGCUGGAGAAUUGAGGGGGGCUGCUCCUAGUACGAGAGGACCGGAGUGGACGCAUCACUGGUGUUCGGGUUGUCAUGCCAAUGGCACUGCCCGGUAGCUAAAUGCGGAAGAGAUAAGUGCUGAAAGCAUCUAAGCACGAAACUUGCCCCGAGAUGAGUUCUCCCUGAGACUUUAAGUCUCCUGAAGGAACGUUGAAGACGACGACGUUGAUAGGCCGGGUGUGUAAGCGCAGCGAUGCGUUGAGCUAACCGGUACUAAUGAACCGUGAGGCUUAACCUU
rnacentral:rRNA from 1 species